GGGCCUCUAGCUCAAUGGUUAGAGCUGCGGACUUUUAAUCCGUAGGUUGUGGGUUCGAGCCCCACGGGGCCCACCA
rnacentral:tRNA from 1 species